rnacentral:misc_RNA from 1 species
AGGCGGUUUUACAACUGGGGCAAAAAUUAACGGCCUGAUGGCUGCUGUUAUCACUAUUAGGUCCUCCACGAUUGGAGUAAUGGUGAUUGGGAUUCAAAUCAAGAUUAGAGGAAGGAAAGUGGCGAUUAAUCCAUAUGCUUGGAACAGCGAGGGCAAUUGGUUUCGGCCCUAAUUUUACGAAUAUCAGAAUCGCCAUCAUUGGAAUUACCCCCGCCGGAGCCAAAGCCAUGGUUCCAAGUGUAUCUCUCUUGAAGUCCGAUAAGCGACUCUCUCCGGCGGUUGCAUCCAACGUUGAGAUAGUUCAAAUGGGUGGAGAUAGAUGAGAGGUGGAGAAAGCGAUCUUGAUGGGCAAAAACGACAGGAAUGCGGUUGAGCUUCUUCCAUCUUCUCAAAGCAGACAUUAGAAGAAAUUAAAGCAGAGAAACAGAUUUAUGUAGAAGAAUAUUGAAGAAAUAAGAAUAUUGAAAUGUUGAAGAGCAGUAGUUGAAGAAGAAGAAUAAUAAAGUGAGAGAAAAAGAGAGAUC